AUUGAACGCUGGCGGCAGGCCUAACACAUGCAAGUCGAGCGAGCGGCGGACGGGUGAGUAAUGUCUGGGAAACUGCCUGAUGGAGGGGGAUAACUACUGGAAACGGUAGCUAAUACCGCAUACCAUCAGAUGUGCCCAGAUGGGAUUAGCUAGUAGGUGGGGGAACGGCUCACCUAGGCGACGAUCCCUAGCUGGUCUGAGAGGAUUACCAGCCACACGGGAACUGAGCCACGGUCCAGACUCCUAAGGGAGGCAGCAGUGGGGAAUAUUGCACAAUGGGCGCAAGCCUGAUGCAGCCCUGCCGCGUGUGUGAAGAAGGCCUUCGGGUUGUAAAGCACUUUCAGCGGUGAGGCGUUACCCGCAGAAGAAGCACCGGCUAACUCCGUGCCAGCAGCCGCGGUAAUUC
rnacentral:rRNA from 1 species